GAUUUUUGCUAUGAAUUUCAUUGCAUUUCUGAGCUCUUCUGCUCAUCUUUUUCCCAGGGCGAUCAAAGGUCAAUAAAUUGUUAAAUGGGGUCAGUAGGUUAAGUAUUGUUGCCAAAAUCUCAGUCGUCCAAUGCUUUUUAAACUCAAUCGUACACCUCACUUUGCCAACCCUUUUGUCAAGCUACUUGAUACAAGUAGCAUUAUUGCUUAAACAAUGUGGGGUGAAAAAAGGGGCUUACUUCUCGUUUGGCCUUUAUUCUCUUUUAUUUAUUGUUAUUUCUUACUUUCAAUCAUACAAUCUUUAAUAAAAUAAUAUUACACAUAAAUUAAAAAAAAUUUAUUAUUUUUUAACAAUACAUUUUUCAAAAAAAUACUAUUUCAUACAUUAAAAUUCGGAGAAAAUGGCCAAACGGGGGGCUAAACUUUCCUCAAUAAUUGUACGAGCAGCUUGUUCAACAAACCAACUUUACGCUUAUCCAAGAAGCUAGACCUCUAGUGCCCUGUAAAAACACUCCGUCCCCAAUGAACUUUUCACUUUCUUCACAAAAAAGCUCUCAUUAGUGGCAGGCAAAGCAAAAGCAAAAGCUCCCAUCGUCGGCCACUGUGGACUGAUGAAGAUCUUCUUCCCGGAUUCUGGUGGGGUGAGUUCAAACAACGGAGGAUGGUUCACCCAGAAGAAGAAGGCCGGAGACUUUUACGAUAAAAGCAGCGGAAACCAUGUGUUCAAAGAAGUAGUGAAGUAUGAAUCCCGCGUCAAAUUUUAGGUUACAGCACUGAGUACCAGACCCAAGUCAAGUUUAAGAAAGUCACUACCUAUGCCAACAAAGGGACUUCAAAAUCAAGCUAUCUGGUGCUGCUUCUUUGCCUGAUUUUAAUUGCUUAUAUGAUCGUUUUUCUGUCAACUGGGACCCAUCCAUGAAAGGGUUGGUCAAAAACUGCGACUGGCAACGGUAUGUUUAUAAAUAAUAUGUUUACUUCUCGUGUUCUAGCCUAAAUGAAAACUCAUUGCUAUCUGAGUUUUCUGUAAGUUAAGUUUUCUUGUUGCAAGUUCUAAUCUAGAUGAAAACUCAUUCAUGUUUUAAGUUUUUUAUGUAGAUAUAUGUUGGUUUGAACUCAUGUUUAUGAAUAUUUUCUGAGUUGCUGAAUUUUUUCAUGUUUUACAAAUUAAAAUCGAUAGAACGGCAACCUCCGUUUUUGUAGUGUAUUUGAAAUACUGUACUUGAUGUCGAGCGAAUUGCAAGUGAAAGAUUAGAAGAUCUAAAG
rnacentral:lncRNA from 1 species